AGUCCUGUGGUGCAGAGGUUAGGGUGUCGCCUUGGCAACGCCAAGGUUGCAGGUUUGAAUCCUGCCUCAACAG